rnacentral:rRNA from 1 species
UACGUAGGCAGCGAGCGUUGUUCGGAGUUACUGGGCGUAAAGCGUGCGUAGGCGGCGGUCCAUGUCUGGUGUGAAAUCUCCCGGCUUAACUGGGAGGGUGCGCCGGAAACGGGGCUGCUGGAGUGCGGGAGAGGUAAGCGGAAUUCCCGGUGUAGCGGUGAAAUGCGCAGAUAUCAGGAAGAACACCAAUGGCGAAGGCAGCUCUCUGGGACGGUACUGACGCUGAGACGCGAAAGCGUGGGGAGCAAACAGG